CCUACGGGCGGCUGCAGUGGGGAAUAUUGCACAAUGGGGUGAACCCUGAUGCAGCAACGCCGCGUGGGUGACGAAGUACUUCGGUAUGUUAAGCCCUGUCAGCAGGGAAGAAACUGACGGUACCUGACCAAGAAGCCCCGGCUAACUACGGGACAGCAGCAGCGGUAAUACGUAGGGGGCAAGCGUUAUCCGGAUGUACUGGGUGUAAAGGGAGCGUAGACGGCAAGGCAAGUCUGGAGUGAAAGCCCGUGGCUCAACCACGGGACUGCUUUGGAACAUGUGUUGCUGGAGUGCAGGAGAGGUAAGCGGAAGUCCUAGUGGAGCGGUGAAAUGCGGAGAUAUUAGGAGGAACACCGGUGGCGAAGGCGGCUUACUGGACUGUAACUGACGUUGAGGCUCGAAGGCGUGGGGAGCAAACAGGAUUAGAUACCCUGGUAGUC
rnacentral:rRNA from 1 species